AGAGUUUGAUCCUGGCUCAGAUUGAACGCUGGCGGAAUGCUUUACACAUGCAAGUCGAACGGCAGCACGGGGGCAACCCUGGUGGCGAGUGGCGAACGGGUGAGUAAUACAUCGGAACGUGCCCAGUCGUGGGGGAUAACGCAGCGAAAGCUGUGCUAAUACCGCAUACGAUCUACGGAUGAAAGCGGGGGACUCGCAAGGGCCUCGCGCGAUUGGAGCGGCCGAUGGCAGAUUAGGUAGUUGGUGGGGUAAAGGCUCACCAAGCCUGCGAUCUGUAGCUGGUCUGAGAGGACGACCAGCCACACUGGGACUGAGACACGGCCCAGACUCCUACGGGAGGCAGCAGUGGGGAAUUUUGGACAAUGGGCGCAAGCCUGAUCCAGCCAUUCCGCGUGCAGGAUGAAGGCCUUCGGGUUGUAAACUGCUUUCGUACGGAACGAAAA
rnacentral:rRNA from 1 species